CCUACGGGCGGCUGCAGUGGGGAAUAUUGCACAAUGGGCGCAAGCCUGAUGCAGCCGUGCCGCGUGUGUGAAGAAGGCCUUCGGGUUGUAAAGCACUUUCAGCGGGGAGGAAGGCGGUGAGGUUAAUAACCUUAUCGAUUGACGUUACCCGCAGAAGAAGCACCGGCUAACUCCGUGCCAGCAGCCGCGGUAAUACGGAGGGUGCAAGCGUUAAUCGGAAUUACUGGGCGUAAAGCGCACGCAGGCGGUCUGUCAAGUCGGAUGUGAAAUCCCCGGGCUCAACCUGGGAACUGCAUUCGAAACUGGCAGGCUAGAGUCUUGUAGAGGGGGGUAGAAUUCCAGGUGUAGCGGUGAAAUGCGUAGAGAUCUGGAGGAAUACCGGUGGCGAAGGCGGCCCCCUGGACAAAGACUGACGCUCAGGUGCGAAAGCGUGGGGAGCAAACAGGAUUAGAUACCCGAGUAGUC
rnacentral:rRNA from 1 species